rnacentral:rRNA from 1 species
GACGAACGCUGGCGGCGUGCUUAACUCAUGCAAGUCGAACGAUGAUGCUGGAGCUUGCUCCAGUUGAUUAGUGGCGAACGGGUGAGUAACACGUGAGCAAUCUGCCCUUGACUCUGGGAUAACUGCGGGAAACUGUAGCUAAUACCGGAUACUUUCACCGGGGGGCAUCCUCUGGUGAUGAAAGAAUUUCGGUCAAGGAUGAGCUCGCGGCCUAUCAGCUUGUUGGUGAGGUAACGGCUCACCAAGGCGACGACGGGUAACCGGCCUGAGAGGGGGACCGGUCACACUGGGACUGGGACACGGCCCAGACGCCUACGGGAGGCAGCAGUGGGGAAUAUUGCACAAUGGGCGCAAGCCUGAUGCAGCAACGCCGCGUGAGGGAUGAAGGCCUUCGGGUUGUAAACCUCUUUUAGCAGGGAAGAAGCGAAAGUGACGGUACCUGCAGAAAAAGCACCGGCUAACUACGUGCCAGCCGCCGCCGUAA